CCUUGUCAUUAAAAGCCACCCAAAGCUCGAGAACUGCAGCAUAACCAGCGACGGUUUUACUGUGACUGGCAUCUGUCGAGUGACAAACGCCUACUCCUCUGAUGACACUUACAGAUGUAUCUGGAAGCAGAAUAACAUACAACAAAAUGUAUCCUAUGCAGAAAGUACUAAACUCAGCAACCAGACUGGACGCGAGUACUUGGAGAACUGGACCUGCUCCUUCUCACAGCCUUUACCACGCGAGGAUGGAAUAUACAACUACACCAUCUCUGCUGACACUUUCAGAUACAGGAAUAUUCAAGUAUAAUUACCGUAGAGACACCCGGAAAUCUGUCCACGACAUGUCCGGAGGUGAUAGAAGAAGGGGAAAGCCUCAGAUGCCAAUGCGAGACAAACAAAACUGGAACUCCACCUGGUCUAGUAUUAUGGGAUGGAUAUAAGAGUGACACUCUCGAAAUUGGAAACGUAAGCCUGGAGGACAACGGCUCAAACUUUACGUGUCUGCUAGUGUGGCGCAAUGACACGUACAGAGUCUUACUCUACUCACUGACAGUGACACAGACUGUGACCAGAAUCCGGUCUAAUAAGAACACAGACGGGAAAAGACGGCCUUUGAUAAAGAAACGAACCCGAGAUCGCGCUCUUCGGAUUAAGUUUGCGUCACGGACCUGCUGCGCGCUUUGCUGACCUUUGUCGCCCCAAAACCGCAGCUUUUUCACUGGACUUUCCGCCGGCAGACAACUCUUGAGUUGGCAGACGGACAACAGUGUCUUUUCACUCUCAAUUUGCCGUAUGUUCGUACGCAUCAUGAUCCUUAUCAAGUUACAGGCUAAUGUUGACGGAGUCUCGCCAAGUCAUCUGGAGCAACAACAACACAAAUAUGAGGCCACAGAUGCAAGAACGAGGAAACACCUACUCUGGACUCUAAGAGUGGGAGAAGUAAGAUAGGAAAAUCGCAUGGCACGAAAUUGUACUAGGAUAGGAAGGACGUUACCUAACGAUAAUUAUUCUUUAUGAAGGUGGUGGUGGUGGUGAUGAUGAUGGUGGUGGUGGUGGUUAAAUAGUUUUUCUCUACCUAUCUGUUGUUUCAUCGGUACGAUAGGGACCUAUACUUCCUGACCCGAAAAGAACACUUGUAUUUUUUUCUUAGUAAAUCUCUAUAACACAUCUGCUUUUAAAUUUUGUUUUCAGCAUUUAUAAUUUCUCCUUAGAAUUUUUGUAAUAGUUGCUGAAAGUUUAUUUCUCUUUAGCGGCUUGCUCAACCGUCGACCGUCGGAAAGGUGGGUCUUUUCUUGGAUCUUUUUAUGGCUUAUGAGCUCCUUUUUCUGCAGGUUCACAGUCACAGAACAGAAACUUUGCAUUGCUAUACGUGGGUGUGUUUUCAUCGUUUGUUACCCCCACCCCCGAAUUUUUUUUUCUUUCCUUAGAAAGUAAACUUUUUCUGGGAGUGGACAAGGCAAUAAGCUGUUAUCAAGAGGCAUUAUAAAAGCAAACGAAUUAAAAGAGCGAAAGGUGUCAGACGAUCAAAGUAUAAAAACAUUUUAUUACGUUUAAGCCGUGAAAGGCGUUUUUGUGUUGAACUGUAUAACUAAAUACAACGUUUGUGAGGAUUGUGAUGUAUAAUUUCUCAAAAGGAAAGCUGGCUGUGAUAAAAUGGUGCAAAACCAGGAACAUAUACCCUGCUGAUCAAUUGUAGAAAACGCAAAGCCAAUUAAAUUACAAAAUUAAAGGAGUCAAAGUCAAGGCUCAUGCUAAAUAAAAAUUUAAAGGUGUGGAGGGGUGGGGUGAGGUUCCAAGAAGUUGAUGAACUUGGAGCUAGUUGUAUGGGUCUCAGUUAUUGGUCAGCGAUCAAGGGAAAACUGAAAAUGCAUUGCAGCAUUCCAACCAUUACAUUUUUAUUUCUCUCCUUUCCUAUCUCUCUCUUUCACGCACACAAACCAAAACAUUGAUAGUUAAGGUCACAUUUUUUAUUAUAAAGAUAAUAUUUAUGGUAUAAAAUGAUUUGCUGUUAGUUGUUCUUUGUAUGUAUGUUGUAUAUGAAACAAAAUCACAUACAGUAAAAGCACUCAAAACACAUGCCCACAAACACUUACUUUUGUUCACAACUUAUCUACCUAUAUGUGUUCUCGCA